UGGCGACCGGCGCACGGGUGAGUAACACGUAUCCAACCUGCCGAUAACUCGGGGAUAGCCUUUCGAAAGAAAGAUUAAUACCCGAUGGUAUAAUAAAACCGCAUGGUUUAAUUAUUAAAGAAUUUCGGUUAUCGAUGGGGAUGCGUUCCAUUAGGCAGUUGGUGAGGUAACGGCUCACCAAACCUUCGAUGGAUAGGGGUUCUGAGAGGAAGGUCCCCCACAUUGGAACUGAGACACGGUCCAA
rnacentral:rRNA from 1 species